rnacentral:lncRNA from 1 species
CUCUCAGCAUCUUGCCAGGGAGGACAGAACAACCCUGGGCACCAGGGAUAAUGGCAGGGCAGGUCUAGCUGAGCUAGGACCCUAAUCAACAUAAAGGCUCCCCAGAGUUGCCUGACCCAAGAAGGCUUGGAGACAGUUCCACCCCUGCCUAAAGACCCCUGCAGCCCUGCUCCAGCCUCCCCGAGCCUUCAAGGCCCCCAGCCUGUCCCCAGGAGUACUCACAUGCCCUGCUCCCCGUACUGGUUGUAAAACUCCAUAUGGCUGCACGCCUGAAUCC